GUUCAUUGAAAAAUACCCCUGGCAUUGGUCUUGGUGGUUAUGUGGAGGAUGAGAUUUGCUACUCAGAACCUCUAAGGGCUUAGGUUCACCACUUGCGUCGCUAGUGUGGGAGGACAAAUCCCAGGCUUUGACAGCC